AUGAACGCUAGCGGCAGGCUUAAUACAUGCAAGUCGAGGGGCAGCAUGACUGUAGCAAUACAGUUGAUGGCGACCGGCAAACGGGUGCGGAACACGUACAGAACCUUCCUUCGAGCGGGGAAUAGCCCAGAGUAAAUUUGGAUUAAUACCCCAUAGCAUAUUGAUGAGGCAUCUCAUUAAUAUUAAAGAUUUAUCACUUGAAGAUGGCUGUGCGGCUGAUUAGGUAGUUGGCGGGGUAACGGCCCACCAAGCCUUCGAUCAGUAACUGGUGUGAGAGCACGACCAGUCACACGGGCACUGAGACACGGGCCCGACUCCUACGGGAGGCAGCAGUAAGGAAUAUUGGUCAAUGGACGAAAGUCUGAACCAGCCAUGCCGCGUGAAGGAUGAAUGCCCUCUGGGUUGUAAACUUCUUUUAUAUGGGACGAAAAAAGAUCUUUCUAGAUCACCUGACGGUACCAUAUGAAUAAGCACCGGCUAACUCCGUG
rnacentral:rRNA from 1 species